CUGCUGCCUUCCGUAGGAGUUUGGGCCGUGUCUCAGUCCCAAUGUGGCCGGCCACCCUCUCAGGUCGGCUACUGAUCGUCGCCUUGGUGGGCCGUUACCUCACCAACCAGCUAAUCAGACGCGGAUCCAUCCCAUACCACCGGAGUUUUUCACACCGGACCAUGCGGUCCUGUGCGCUUAUGCGGUAUUAGCAGUCAUUUCUAACUGUUAUCCCCCUGUAUGAGGCAGGUUAUCCACGCGUUACUCACCCGUCCGCCG
rnacentral:rRNA from 1 species